ACUGUCUUUAUUUAAUUAAAAUUUUAAUUUAAUUUUUAAGUUAAAAAGCUUAAAUAAUUUUAAAGGACGAGAAGACCCUAUAGAGUUUUAUAAUUUAUUAUAGAAAAAAACUAAAUAAUUUUUUAUUUUAAUAAAUUAUUUUAUUGGGGCGAUAAAAAAAUUUAUUAAACUUUUUAACUUAAAUUUCAUUAAUUUAUGAAUUUAUGAUCCUUUAUA
rnacentral:rRNA from 1 species